UGGGGAAUAUUGCACAAUGGGGGGAAACCCGUGAUGCAGCGACGCCGCGUGAGUGAAGAAGUAUUUCGGUAUGUAAAGCUCUGUCAGCAGGGAAGAAAAUGACGGUACCUGACCAAGAAGCCCCGGCUAACUACGUGCC
rnacentral:rRNA from 1 species